rnacentral:rRNA from 1 species
AACGAACGCUGGCGGCGUGCCUAACACAUGCAAGUCGUGCGAGAAAGUUCCUUCGGGGGCGAGUAAAGCGGCGCACGGGUGAGUAACACGUAGGUAACCUGCCCCCCAGUCUGGAACAACUAGAGGAAACUCUAGCUAAUGCCGGAUGAGACCACGAUCCCUUCGGGGUUGCGGCCAAAGAUGGCCUCUACUUGUAAGCUAUCGCUGAGGGAUGGGCCUGCGGGCCAUUAGCUUGUUGGUGAGGUAACGGCUCACCAAGGCUGUGAUGGCUAGCUGGUCUGAGAGGAUGACCAGCCACACUGGGACUGAGACACGGCCCAGACUCCUACGGGAGGCAGCAGUGGGGAAUAUUGCGCAAUGGGCGAAAGCCUGACGCAGCGACGCCGCGUGGGUGAUGAAGGCCUCGGUCGUAAG